UACGUAGGAUGCAAGCGUUGUCCGGAAUUAUUGGGCGUAAAGAGCGAGCAGGCGGUUCGACAAGUCAGAUGUAAAAUAUCCCGGCUUAACCGGGAGGGGCCAUUUGAAACUGUCGGACUAGAGUGGAGCAGAGGAUAGUGGAAUUCCCGGUGUAGUGGUGAAAGUGCGUAGAUAUCGGGAGGAACACCAGUGGCGAAGGCGACUAUCUGGCUUAACUGACGCUGAGGCGCGAAGGCCGGGGGAGCAAGCAGGAUU
rnacentral:rRNA from 1 species